rnacentral:lncRNA from 1 species
GUGUUUGCAUGUUGGAAAUGGAAUGUUGAUUGCAUCAAUAAGACCUUUUUGAUGAUCAAACAAAAAUGUGAACUUCAAAAGUUUGGAGUUUAAUGGACUAGAUGUAAGAAUUGUUGUCUUCAGUUUUUGCAAGAACCACAACCAAUUGUCAUUACUUUUAGCAUUCACAAUGCUAAAUGUAAUAGGAAAUAGUUACCUCUCUACAUUGAUUAUUAUAGCUACAAAAAAUACUCUACAAUAUUUAUAUUUUAGAUAGGUGUUGUCUAUGUUAAUCAUGAAUUGACAAUAUUACAAGCCAUAUAAGCUUACAUUAUAAGUAACAAACAAUUGAUAAAAGUAAUUUUCUUCAUCAACUUUUAAUUUUACAUAACUCUCAAGAUUUGUUGUCUUGAUUUGAUGAUAAUACACUUUUAAGUCAUUAAGUUGUCUUGAUAAGUACAAAUUAGCUCAAAAAUUAUUUUUUCUUUUGUACACCAUCUCAUUAAGUAUGAUAUUGUAAUGCCAUUAUUAUAUCAAAUAUAUUUUAAAAUAUCUACAACUUUGUAUUGUGAAAUCUCUUUCAAUUUGUUCUUUAGUUUGCUUUCUACCCAACUAGUCCUUGCAUAUUGGUUGUCUAAGUGCUUAGCACCAAUGUUUGUGUAUAUUGAGACAUAUGUCCUAAUCUCAAAUUCAUUUAAAAAUAUUGAGUGAAACUGUAAUAUAUGAGGUCUCUAUUUGCAAUUGUCAUUGCAACACUUUACAAUAUAUCUUCUUUGCUUAGAUUUGAUAAUAGAUAUUUUAUGAUGCUUGCUAAUUAUAUUUUGAGCUAUGGCUUGCUUCAAUUCAUUACUACUACUACUACUACUACUACUACUAAAAGUAAUAUCUACAAUAAGAGCACUUGUCAUUUUAAAGUAAAAUUUUUUCUUAGCAAAUUUUUCAAAAGACAAAUCUUUUUAAUAUGAAUGUAUCAAUCAAUAAUGGCUUGAUUGAAAUAGAAACUCUAGAGCAUUUAAUUGCAUGAUGUUGCUUCAAUGUGGAAUUGGCUAAUUUAGCUAUAAGAGUUUCAUCUACAUCUAAGUCAACAUAAGGUUAUAAACUUACCUUGUUAGCUCAAAAUUAUAAAUUAUAAGUAUAUUUUUAUCUAGUUCGACUUGAAAUUUGACAUGAUUUCUUAUAAGGAGUUUGUAAGUAAAUGGUGAAAGCUAGUAUGGGCAUACUACUAGCAAAUAUAUUAAUGAAUUUGAAAAUUCUUCAUCAAAGUUGCUAGAAACUAAGAUUUUAGAUAUGUUGUAGGACUGGGUAUGUGUUAACUUGAUAUAGAAGUGACAGUAGUUGCUCCUUUGAAAGUUAUUUAAUAUUAUGAACCUUAACAAAUUUGUAUGAGCUGAUAAACAGAAACUAGCAAUUCGGAGUAGCUACAUAAUGGAUUGGAGUACAAAAUGGGUUGGGAUAGAAAGAAGAAGCAUAAAUUCACCAAUACUUGUAGUUCUAUGCCAUGACUUCAAUUUUGGACAAUUUAAUUGGGAGCACAAUUGUAUGAAGAGACAUCACAAUUGACUUUAAGCACUAGCAGCAGAUUUUUCAUUUUUCUCUUACUAUUUAGAAUAUUUGUGGAAAAAGUGCAUCAUUGGUGAUAUACAAGAUAAGCACAAGUGACUUUUUCCAAAUUUUUUGUGAGCCAAGAGCAACAAUUUUUGAGUCAAGAGCAAUGCUCUUUGUACUAAUGGACGAAACACGUGCAAUAGCUGCAUCCCUAAGAUAACCUCGUUUUUUUUUAAGCCAGUUACAAAUGAAAUUAGAGAACUUGCUAUUGAAAAUCAAAAUCGCAUCUUUUGUUUAUAAUGAAAAACAAUAGGCAAAGGAAUCACGAAGAAAGUAUGAAUCAUGUAAGAAUGAGGGCCUGAGCAAACAAUUCACGGAACAUGCCCUAAUUGAAUAAUGCAAGAAUGAUGUGUGACAUGAGUAUACACACACAUUAACAAAAACAAUUUACAGAAUAAAAUAAAAAGAAAGUCAAAAGAACAAAAUCUGCAACAGAAUAUUUACAAUAAGCACAAUAUUUAAUACUUUAAUCUCUCCUUUUACAAAUAAUCUCUGUUGCCCAAUAAUCAUCCUUAUUACAAAUUGAAAUUCUUGUAUACAGUGAACAAUAACAAUAGACAUGUAGAUAAUCCAAACAUGAAAUAUCACAAACAAACCAAUUGUUAUUGCUGAAUUUGUAUUCAGCAUCCACAAUAAACCAUCUAAGACUUAAUAUUUCUUUUAAAAUUCUAAUACUUGUCUCAAAUGUGAAAAUGAAUCAAACUCACAAAUUUGAACAAAAAGAUAACAAUUAUUUGAGCAUAUUUUAUUAGGAGAUCUUGCAAUUGGUUAGUAAAAGAAUAGCGCACACAACUGCAAAACAUUCAAAAUUAGAUUCAAGUACAAAAUCACAAAGAACAAAAAUCAAACAAAAAUAGAGAAACUCACUCUAUUCUUGAUCAAGCUCCUUCCAAAUGACCCACACACAUUGCCUGUCUUCAUGCAUACACAAUAGAUGUCGAGAGGAGAAGGAGGCGCACCGAAGAUAUCAAAAGGAGGAGAGGCUGAAUAUAUAGAAGGAAGUAGCCUCUCACUGUUUUGUGUUAUAUUUUCCGAUUUCCUCACUAAAAAUAGAAUGCAAUCAAUUGUAUACAGCCCUACCUUGAGUCAACAGUACCACUGGUUUUGUUUAAACUAGAUACGAAUUGCAAGUGUGUUGUAUUUUGUUCAAUAAGAUCAAUUUGAGCUAAAUUGGAUAUACAAGAAUAGGAGCUAGAUCGAUUACAAGAUUAGGAGCUAGAUCGAUGAAACUUGUGAAUGCUUUUGUUGACCAAAAUGCCGAUUUUUGAAUGUUGCGAUCUUCAUUGCGAAAUUAGGGCUGUGACGCAACAUCAGAAGUCUUGCUUAGGGUAUGCUGAGUGACCUCGUAAUUGAAGCCAUGAGGAACUAGCAUCCAAAUUUCUUAAGGAGAGAAGCAUUCUCAGCAAGUUCUUGGUCACCGAAUAUUUGAUUCUGCAUUUAUUGCGACUGCUUACUGCGAACCACACAAGAUUAGUCUAGACUUGUCAUCUCAAUGAUGCCGUUGUGAAAUCAUGCAAACCGCAAGACUUUGAGGUCUGAAUUCCCGCAUUAAGACAGAUUGGAACACUUCAGCAGUGUCAGAAUGAGAGACGUGAGCACGAUUCUCCACAUCAAUCCAUCAAACCACAAAAUUAUUCGCAUCCAACCCCUGACAUUGAUCAGUCAAUUGCUGCGUUGGACGAGGACAACGAAGACUUUGCAGUGCCUUCUUCAAGAGAAAGAGAGUGCAAACGCGUUGAGCAUUCCAUGGGGUGUAAAUCCCCAGAAGGUGCAUAGAAAUAUUCCUAAUUCCGAGCAAUCCGACACAUCCUUUAUUAUCGAACAUACACAACGUGGGUAACUGGCACAAUGACCAGGACUGGCCCUGUGCGUGGUUACGAGUUAUUGAUUGAUUAUUUGCUUGAACUCGAGGUAUCCCCAGCUAAGCACAUUCCGCAAUGUGAAAUUCCUCAACUACAAUCCCAGGUCUUGAUUGAUGAACUUGAUUCAAGGUGAGUCGGUUCAUGUGAGCAACCUCCACACCCUCACAAAGACAGUUAAUGCAGUGCUGUGCACACCAGCUAACAUCCUGGAGGAGGCAUUAAAAUGGAGCUGGAUCUUGCACUGUUUAAGACUCUGCCGAUCAAUACCUGCUGCAGUCGCCACUCUUACGCUUGGGCAUAGUCAGAUCCGCAGUCGCUGUGAUCCAAACGGGUCUCUCUAUAACGACCUAGAGUUGUAGCUGCUGUCGUGCACGAUGAAGUCAGUUCAAGCUAUGGUCGUGUUGCUACUGUUGGCAGCUCUGUUGGAGUGUGUUCAACAUUCAGAGGCAGGUCGAACGAUGCUAACUGUUGGAUCAGAAAAGACUUUGAGCAGCCUGUUGCCUAGCUGCUCGCCUCCUCCUGCCCCAGUGGACGUUCCUUACACUCCCACCACACCUGACACUACCUCUCCCUCCACUCAUGAUACCUACACUCCGACUACUCCGACUACUCCAUCUGAGCCUUCUCCGGUGUAUAGCAGCCCACCUCCCGCUGAUGGAUACUAGCAACCUUGAGCUCUUGCUUCGGCGGUGCACGGCGUGAAAACAAGUGAGUCUCGGUCCUUCAUGUAGAGGGUGAGGUGUUGCACGUAUGUGACAUGGAUAUGAAAUUCUCAGGAUGUUAUAUGUAGUGUAACUGAUCGCCGUUUUGCUCGCGCUUGCAUUAUGGCUAAGGUUGACACAUACGAAUGUAAGCCUCAAACAAAACGUUUCGGUAUGGUGGCUUGCAGGAAUUUUUGCAUCGCACUCGCUUGAUGUGUGACGUGGAAUCUGGUCACCACGACUGGCUUGUAAAAGCACGCCGAAGUUGGAGAAGUUGUUGACGCUGAUCUGGUUUAGUGCAUGGCACCUUUCUUUGUAGAUCCAGAGAGAGUGCCUUCGUUCUAUUCAGAAGGGGUAGCGUACAUUUGUUGCUGGAUUCCUUGUAGGCUAAAGUAAGAUUUUAUUUAAUAUUUGAGCUCAGAAGUAGUAUCUCACAAAAUGCAUACAUCGUUUAGAUCCACUUGUCAUUCAUGUCAAUUUUUCGUGUUUCUAUCACAAUCAUUUCAUAAAGUAAAAUUUGGAGCUCUGUCCCUGUUAUCAUAGAAAUGUUUAGCAUGAUAAAUGAAAUUUCUACCAAGAAAUCACCAAGACCAAUCAAAUCACCAUUAUCCUGGAAAGAGUUCACUUUCUCCGAUCUCAGGAAGUAAUCACGACCAGCUCAUGGACAAAAGCAACUUGCGAGACUCCAGUUUUGAUUGAAGAAUUGAAGACAACAGCAUAGCUCUUGUAUUUGAUAUUGGUAGACAGCGUAUUUGAUAUUGGUAGACACUCUCAGAACCCUAGUUUGGUUGCAUCAUCUAAAUGAACUAUUCAAGCUGCCCGUUUUCCCACUUCAGAAUCCUAGCAGGACUCAAGCUCUAAUACAAUAUCGUAGCGCAUUUAGUAAUUGUAUAUUGUGCAAAUCAAACAGUUCCUACACACGUACACCCACCCUUGAUUAGGAUUAAAUUAAUCAAAGCGAAGCUUCUCAACACCACCUCACCCCACCAUCCACAGGCUGAGAAGCACAUUCUUGACUGUCAUGUCAUGAUUCCAAUUCAUUCAGGUCUUGAAAGACUGCGUGGCCUCCUCCGCUUCCCCUGUAGCCUCUCCCUCGGGCUCUAUCGCCUUGCAAGGCUCUAUGGUGGUCUUGGUGAGCGAACCGGAUUGACGCCUGCUGAAACCCUUCGGUUGGUGACAGCGUUGCAUCUGGCUACCUGGAGCGGAGCACUGCAAACACUGACAGGUUUAGGGGGUUUCACUGUCGAGAGGAAAUAGAGGUCCUCCGUGGAGAGCAUUUCACUACAGGUUUGGGGCCGUCUGCGAGGACUUCUUUACGCCUGCUGCAUUGCUACCAAGACAGGGCCUCCCUCUUGUGCGGUAAAUCACCCGAUAGUUGCACAAGAAAAGAUCAUUUGUACGCCGGCCCGUCCUAACCUCGGCACGCAUGUAGCUAUAAUAAAGCUUAGUACCGUUGAUCCAAGCAUGACCAAAACCUGCCACGAGCUUCGUUUUCACUGUCUAGGCAGCCGCCCAGUUCUCUCUGCAGUGCACUCAUUCACAAGGCGUUGUCGCAUAUGAAUCCGACUCUCUUUCGGAGUGAAGGAAACAGUCACUAACAUAAUACCGAAACAGCGAGCUUUGGGGAUGUGCACCAGCCAGGCCAUAUUCUCAGAAACGAGAAUGCAUGUUCACAGCUUGGCCAACGUAGACGGCGAUGCACGGUCCCCAGUCAUUAAGUCCAUGGUGGGUCGCAGUGUGGGGGUGACGACCAUAAUGGCGCUGCCACGCGCAGAUUACAAGUCGCCGGCCCCCACAGGCAAGCAGGCAGGCCAGGCAAAGCAAACCUGGUUUUGUGGAUUGGGACCUGGUACUCAUGCACUGGAAUGGAAAUGAAAUGGCAAUGAAGUAGAAAUGAGAAAAGGACACUCACUCACUCACUCUCUCAUCCAACUGGGCAGUGCCGAGGUAGGCUGUCCCUCCCUCUUUCCUCUGCUUCCCAGAUAUUUUCUGCUGGCUCGAACAGUCUUGCGUCUGGAAUUUUUUUUAAAAGAGAAUAUAUUUAUCUACAGCUACAAUAAAACCUUAUUUCGAUGAAUAAAAUUGAAAAUAUUAUAAAAAAUUUAACCAAAAUUAGAAUCUAAGCCUAGUCGGAUCCGGCCAAAGCAGCCGCGAAACUCAUAUGAACCAUUCGGCAGAGUUGAAGCAAACAAGUAGGGUAGCUUAUAACCACUCGACCUAAGACCGAGGUUCUCCGGUCUGAUGCAGGCAGUACUAUUGUUUCCUCGGACUUAGAUGGGUAUUCGUACAAUACUCCGAUAAUACUCAAUCGAAAAAAAAAGUAAAAAAUAACAGUAAAGAUGAAAGCAUUGGUAUGCAAGCUCCGCAAAGUCACCACUACCCACAAGCGCCGCAAGGCACCGUCACAGCGUUGUUGCACCACCCCCUGCAUUGCAUGGACUGUAGCUCCGCACCACGCAGCGUACUUCUUGAUCACCAUGCGCCGCGCCCGAUGCUCGCACCCCCACCAAGUCAAAGCAUCGUCUGUCGGCCCAAUUAUUACGUGAUGAAUUAUGAAGUCUGCUCACUGCAUGCUGCGCCGACCAUUACAAGCAACGCUUAUCUACCACAUAGGUUCUGUGCUCUUGCCACUCCACCAGUCGAGGUGCUCUCUGCUCAGUGACUAAGUGCAGGAGUAUUUUGGACCAGUUGCAACGGGAGUGUAAACGCUGUGGUUCGAGCCGACGAAAGUUCAACAGCGUGUAUACGGUGCGAAUGUGUGUAGGGAGUGGUCGGCGCAAUUGCGAAAUGGUGCUUGCCGCGCGUCGAUUUAGAGCAACUAUAAAUUGAGUUGGGUUUUCACCGGGCUACAGAGGGAUUUGUGCUCGGCUACGGAUUCAAUUUUGCAGUCAGUGCAGCGUACGCUGUAGUUAAGGGUUUUGAUAAAACAUCUAUUGAGUACGGAUACUCGCACAAUGAUCAUUAACUCCGUUCAAGAUACAGUAAGUAGACUUUCGGCUCGCGGAGCUGACUACCAGAGAAACUUUUAAAUGUAGACUUGAUACAUUUUAAUAAAGGCCAGUGAAAGCAGUGACAUAGACAGAGAGGUACAAUGAAUCAUAUGUUGCAGCUUCAUUAUAAAUUGCGAAAUAUCAUGAGGUUACACGCCUCCGUAAUUGGAGAGAAGGCAGGAGGAAACCAACGCUGCACUACACUGCAGUCUAUCAACCCCGGCACCACAGGAACUGUGAGAAAAUUACGGGGUCAACAAGCCUAUCCACUUCCCUCAAGACGUCCACCUUAUUCCUCACUGCCUGGGUCAAAACCCUUACACACACUGCCACUGCACGUAACACCCUGGCAAGAACAAACAAAUCCGGAAUAAUUUAUCUCCAUGCUCGCAGCACCUUCAUGGCAAAGGUCGCCAGCUCCCCGCACCAUUUAAUAUGAAAAAAACAUCUCCAAGGGACGAAUGCCAGUGCCUCAUACCAACUCAGCUAUUAUGAAUCCUCUUGAAAAAGGCGCACAGUUGAUAACCUGUUACAUGAGUCAAGAAGACCAUCAGAGAUGGUUAAACGAUCAAGAAAAAAGGACAAUUCCUUGCUCAAUCAAUCGAAUCUCAAUUCAAUAAAAAUCAUGCAUCAGUUCAGGUUGCGAAAUUGGCUCGUACCUCUUACGACAUUGGCAUCUACUCACAAUCACGGACCUCAGUAGCCGCCUGCAGGUGGGCUUCCAGAGGGAGAACCUCCAGAGGGAGAGCCCCCAGAGGGAGUUGGGCUAUAUGGGGGGCUAGAGUAAGAAGGAGAUGAUGGAGUGGUAGGAGAUGAACCAGACGGGGUAGGGCUGUAAGGGGGGCUAGAGUAAGUAGGCGACGACGGGGUAGGAGGAGACGGACCAGAUGGGGUCGGACUGUAUGGGGGACUGGAGUAAGUAGGAGACGAUGGAGUAGAAGGAGAUGGGUCGGAAGGAGUUGGGCUGUAUGGGGGACUCGAGUAAGAUGGAGACGAGGGAGUUGUAGGAGAUGAGCUGGAGGGAGUUGGACUGUAAGGAGGGCUGGAAUAGGUAGGAGAUGACGGAGAAGAACCAGAAGGAGUUGGGCUGUAAGGAGGGCUAGAAUAUGUAGGAGAUGACGGAGAAGGACCUGAAGGAGCAGUAGGAGAUGGACUAGAAGGAGCUGGGCUAUAUGGAGGACUGGAAUAAGUAGGAGAUGAGGGAGUCGUAGGAGAUGAACUGGAAGGAGUCGGGCUGUAUGGAGGACUAGAGUAGGAUGGAGAAGGGGUCACAGGAGACCCACCGGAGGGAGUACCAGGAGAGUAAGGAGGAGAACUGUAGACUGGAGUGGGAGUCACAGGGGAAGGAUCGGAAGCAACUGGGGGAGAAUACGAUGGAGUGUAGGGAGUAGCCGGUGGAUCAGUGGAGGGAGGAGGAGGGCAGAGAGUCAAACUCGGGAUCAAGCUUCCCAGGCCUGAAGACGUGAGAAGCACCCUCGCCUCCGUGUUGACGAUACAAGCGCAGCAGCUUAGAAGAGCUGCGACGAGAAUCAGC